CAUAAAAUUUCAUAGAGGAGAGGGGGUUAGUACGAGUCCAUCCUUGACUGGUCCAGUUUUUCCCGGGCCUGGACUUUAUCUUAUUCUAGCUUAUCUGUUUGCCCUGUCAGGAGAUUUACAACUCCUCUCCGGGGUCUGGUCAUGUUAUCUCUGGAGAGGGGC